CAAUAUAAGUGAUGGCGACCGGCGCACGGGUGAGUAACACGUAUCCAACCUGCCGAUAACUCGGGGAUAGCCUUUCGAAAGAAAGAUUAAUACCCGAUGGUAUAAUAAAGCCGCAUGGUUUAAUUAUUAAAGAAUUUCGGUUAUCGAUGGGGAUGCGUUCCAUUAGUUUGUUGGCGGGGUAACGGCCCACCAAGACUACGAUGGAUAGGGGUUCUGAGAGGAAGGUCCCCCACAUUGGAACUGAGACACGGUCCAA
rnacentral:rRNA from 1 species